rnacentral:tRNA from 1 species
AGUCUUAUAGUCAAUAAAUGAUAUGAAAUUGCAAAUUUUAAGUAGUAAAUAAAAAUACUAAGGCUU